rnacentral:rRNA from 1 species
UACGUAGGGGGCAAGCGUUGUCCGGAAUCAUUGGGCGUAAAGAGCGUGUAGGCGGCCAGGUAGGUCCGCUGUGAAAACUCGAGGCUCAACCUCGAGAUGUCGGCGGAAACCAUCUGGCUAGAGUCCGGAAGAGGAGAGUGGAAUUCCUGGUGUAGCGGUGAAAUGCGCAGAUAUCAGGAAGAACACCCGUGGCGAAGGCGGCUCUCUGGGACGGUACUGACGCUGAGACGCGAAAGCGUGGGGAGCGAACAGG